AAAACAUUGAAUUAACACUUGUUACACAUGAGUCACUGUGAGAGUGCAGAGGCUGCACUAAAUAGUACGACAUAAUAUGCAAAAAUAAGCAGCUUAGCUUCACGUGGAGCUGCCCUCUGUGGACGCUCAAAGUAUUUAUAGCUGCCCUUGGGCCCAGGAGAGUUGAAUAGUUCAGGUUUGUUUUAAGGGUUUCCAGUGACCCCUCAAUCUAAUUCUGGUGAUGUUUAAUAUUACUGGCAAGUGCUAAUUAUACCACUUGCAGUUCUUUGGGCAAGCGGGGAGGUGUUCUCCCAUGCUCAGAGAGCACAUUUUUCUCAUCCGGGACUUAAGAUCUAGGUGACUUCUGCCUGGGUGCAACACUUUUGUCACCCUUUGACUGUGAGGUGCUAUGGCUAUCAGCGUGCAGCAGUAGCUCACAGUUGUGUGGGCCUUACCCUCUGAGGGUGGGAGGAAACUGUGUUUUGCAGAGUACUGGAGUAGGCUGAGUUGUUUAGUAACUGAUAUGGCAUUGCAGGGAGCCAAAGUCAGCCUUCAGCUGCAGCCAUUGCUUCUUGCAGGGCUCCUUCCUGUCCCAUCACAGGGGGAUGUGUGUCUGCAGCUUUGUGUCUUUCUGCAGAGCAAACAUCAAAUCUCUGCAGCUGGAACAUCUUGCAGCGUGUCCCUACUGCAGCUGUUAUUGCACGUGCACAGCUGUUGAGAGGCUUGGUCUAAAGCCUGUGGCUUGCUCUGUUCCUUCCAGCUCAGCCUUGUCCUUGUUUUACAGUAGGCUGACCCCUGAAUGCCUUCAGUUUUCUGGGGCUUUAAGGCCUGCUCUGUUUUUUGCAUGAAUUAAUGUAGCUUUACCUUUGGCAACAGCAGAGGGAGCUGCCAGAAGUCUUGCAUAGCAUUUGAAAUGUCAGCUGCCUGUCAUGAGUGUCUGCCAGGACUGCAGCUUUGGCAGGGUCAGUGUUAGUGUGGACACAGCAUGAAUCAGACUGGGCAGGAACUUGUGUACAGAGUAUCCUGAGACUGGUAAAACACCUGAAAUUUCCCACCAAGUUAUUUGGUGUGUUGCUCAGGUAAUAUACAAGGAAACACUGCUGGCUCUUGACUGAACCAGAAUCAUAGGCUGUUCUGCAUUCAGACUUGAAUUUUGUUUCAGGAAUGAAGAGGUUAAUGAAGCCUGAACUACCUCGUGAAGACAUUCCUGUUCUUGUCAGCCUUGGCGUUAUUGUAAUUGUCAGCAAUCACCAACAAGUCAAAGAGCUGAAAUAAGAUGAAACAAAUUUUCAGAGUUCCUUCUGUCUGCCGCUCAGGAGUAAUGGCAAUUCUAUAGUGCUUCUUUUGAAAGUUGAAAUGACAGCUGUUAGUAAAUAGUUUACCAACAUUUCCUGUGUUUGAAUGAAUAAAAGUGUUCAUAAAAAC
ensembl:lncRNA